GACGAACGCUGGCGGCGUGCUUAACACAUGCAAGUCGAACGGAAAGGCCCUGCUUUUGUGGGGUGCUCGAGUGGCGAACGGGUGAGUAACACGUGAGUAACCUGCCCUUGACUUUGGGAUAACUUCAGGAAACUGGGGCUAAUACCGGAUAGGAGCUCCUGCUGCAUGGUGGGGGUUGGAAAGUUUCGGCGGUUGGGGAUGGACUCGCGGCUUAUCAGCUUGUUUGUGGGGUAGUGGCUUACCAAGGCUUUGACGGGUAGCCGGCCUGAGAGGGUGACCGGGCACAUUGGGACUGAGAUACGGCCCAGACGGCUAUGGGCGGCAGCAGUGGGGAAUAUUGCAGAACGGGCGGGAGCCUGAUGCAGCAACGCCGCGUGCGGGAUGACGGCCUUCGGGUUGUAAACAGCUUUCGACUGUGAUGAAGAGUGAGUGACGGUACUGGGUAAAGAAGCACCGGCUAACUACGUG
rnacentral:rRNA from 1 species